GUGCUUCCUUCAACAGUACAUAUAUUAAAACUGGAACAAUACAGAGAAGAUCAGCAUGGCCCCUACGAAAAGAUAAUAUGCAAAUCUGUAAAGUGUUUCACAUUUUA